rnacentral:rRNA from 1 species
GCACGUUUCUUGUGUGACCGCGUACUUUUUGUAGAACGGGCCAACGAGUUACGUUAAGUAGCAAGGUUAAGCACUUAAGGUGCGGAGCCGUAGCGAAAGCGAGUUUUAACUGAGCGUUCAGUUACUUGACGUAGACCCGAAACCGGGCGACCUACCCAUGAGCAGGAUGAAGCGAAAGUAAAAUUUCGUGGAGGUCCGAACCCACGAGCG